rnacentral:rRNA from 1 species
UUUGAUCCUCGGCUCAGAUUGAACGCUGGCGGCAUGCCUUACACAUGCAAGUCGAACGGCAGCACGGGUGCUUGCACCUGGUGGCGAGUGGCGAACGGGUGAGUAAUACAUCGGAACAUGUCCUGUAGUGGGGGAUAGCCCGGCGAAAGCCGGAUUAAUACCGCAUACGAUCUACGGAUGAAAGCGGGGGACCUUCGGGCCUCGCGCUAUAGGGUUGGCCGAUGGCUGAUUAGCUAGUUGGUGGGGUAAAGGCCUACCAAGGCGACGAUCAGUAGCUGGUCUGAGAGGACGACCAGCCACACUGGGACUGAGACACGGCCCAGACUCCUACGGGAGGCAGCAGUGGGGAAUUUUGGACAAUGGGCGAAAGCCUGAUCCAGCCAUCCCGCGUGUGCGAUGAAGGCCUUCGGGUUGUAAAGCACUUUUGGCAGGAAAGAAACGUCAUGGGUUAAUACCCCGUGAAACUGACGGUACCUGCAGAAUAAGCACCGGCUAACUACGUGCCAGCCGCCGCGGUA